UACGGGAGCAGCAGUGGGGAAUAUUGCACAAUGGGGCGCAAGCCUGAUGCAGCCAUGCCGCGUGUGUGAAGAAGGCCUUCGGGGUUGUAAAGCACUUUCAGCAGUGAGGAAGGCGGAGUCGUUAAUAGCGGCCUCGUUUGACGUUAGCUGCAGAAGAAGCACCGGCUAACUCCGUGCCAGCAGCCGCGGUAAUACGGAGGGUGCGAGCGUUAAUCGGAAUUACUGGGCGUAAAGCGCAUGCAGGUGGUUUGUUAAGUCAGAUGUGAAAGCCCGGGGCUCAACCUCGGAAUAGCAUUUGAAACUGGCAGACUAGAGUACUGUAGAGGGGGUAGGAAUUUCAGGUGUAGCGGUGAAAUGCGUAGAGAUCUGAAGGAAUACCGGUGGCGAAGGCGGCCCCCUGGACAGAUACUGACACUCAGAUGCGAAAGCGUGGGGAGCAAACAGGAUUAGAUACCCUGGUAG
rnacentral:rRNA from 1 species